rnacentral:rRNA from 1 species
GACAGAGGGUGCAAACGUUGUUCGGAAUUACUGGGCGUAAAGCGAGUGUAGGCGGUCUCAUAAGUCCGGUGUGAAAACUCGAGGCUUAACCUCGAGAUGUCAUCGGAAACCAUCUGGCUAGAGUCCGGAAGAGGAAAGUGGAAUUCCUGGUGUAGCGGUGAAAUGCGCAGAUAUCAGGAAGAACACCAAUGGCGAAAGCAGCUUUCUGGGACGGUACUGACGCUGAGACGCGAAAGCGUGGGGAGCGAACAGG